CACGUAGGGCGCAAGCGUUGUCCGGAAUUAUUGGGCGUAAAGAGCUCGUAGGCGGUCUGUUGCGUCCGCUGUGAAAACUCGGGGCUUAACCCCGAGCCUGCAGUGGAUACGGGCAGACUAGAGGUAGGUAGGGGAGAAUGGAAUUCCCGGUGUAGCGGUGAAAUGCGCAGAUAUCGGGAGGAACACCUGUGGCGAAAGCGGCUCACUGGACCACAACUGACGCUGAUGCGCGAAAGCUAGGGGAGCAAACAGG
rnacentral:rRNA from 1 species